rnacentral:lncRNA from 1 species
UUUCUUCGGACCCCAAAUCUAAUUGCAAAAUCAAAAAGGGACUUCUUCGGACCCUAAAUCCAAUCAAAAAGGGAAUUUCUUCGGACCCCAAAUCCAAUUGCAAAUCAAAAGGGAAUUUCUUCGGACCCCAAAUUAAAUUGCAAAAUCAAAUUCGGACCCCAAAUCAAAUUGCAAAUCCGAAUUAAGUUCACAUACGAACCCAAAUCCGAAUCAAGUUCCUAUACGAACCCAAAUCCAAAUCAAGUUCACAUACGAACCCAAAACCAAAUUAAGUCCACAUCCAAACCCAAAACCAAAUCAAGUCCACAACCCAUUCCACAAAUAAACCCAAAUCCAAAACCAAAUCAAGUCCACAUCCAAACCCAAAACCCAAAUCCGAAUCAAGUUCACAUACGAACCCAAACCAAAUCAAGUCCACAUACGAACCCAAAUCAAAUCAAGUCCACAUACAAACCAAAUCCGAACCAAGUCCACAAAUAAAGCCCAAAACCAAAACCCAAAUAAAAUCCGAACCCAAAUCCAAACCAAAUCAAAUCCAAACCCAAAACCAAAUAUAGUCUCCAAAUAAACCCAAACCCAAAACCCAAAUAAACCCAAACCCAAAACCCAAAUUAAAUCCGAACCCAAACCCAAAUUAAGUCCACAUCCAAACCUAACCCAAACCAAGUCCACAUAAAGAACCCAAACCCAUUUCACAAAUAAAAUCCAAACCCAACCCAAACCAAGUUUAUAAAUAAAACUAAAAUCCAAACCAAAAUCCAAACCAAAUCAAACCCAAACCCAACUCAAAUCAAGUCCACAAUCCAAAUCCAAACCCAAAACCCAAAUCCAACUUCCAACUUAGGCUCAUGAACCUAAACCAUAUCUAAGUUCGUGAAUCAAAUCUCAAAUCCUAUACCCAAGUUCAUGAAUCAAGUCUCAUGAACCAAAACUCAUAAACCAAGUUCAUGAACCAUGAACCAUGAAUCAUGAACCAUGAUCCAAGUUCAUGAACAAAAUCCCAUAUACCCAACUUCAUAAACUAUAAACCAAGUUCAUGAAUCAUGAAUCAAGUCCAUAAACCAAGAUUCAUGAGCCAAAUUCAUAAACCUCAUCCAUGAACCAUAUCCAAGUUCAUGAACCAAAUCUCAUACACCAAACAUCAUGAACCAUAAACCACAACCCACGCCCAUGGACCAAAUCCCAUAGCUUAUUCAAGUUCGUGAACCAAACACCACGAACCAUACCUAAGUCCCAUAAACCAUGAAUCAAGUUCGUGAACCAAACACCACGAACCAUACCUAAGUUCAUGAACCAUAAAUCAAACCCCAUGAACCAUACACCAAAUUCAUGAACCAUGAACCAAAUCUAUAAACAAAGUCCAUAAACCUCAUAAACCAAGUUCAUGAACCAUGAACCAUGAACCAUGAACCAAGUUCAUAAACCUCAUCCAUGAACCAUAUCCAAGUUCAUGAACCAUACACCAUAAACCAUAAACCAAGAUCAUAUAUCCAAACCUCAUGAACCAUACACUAAAUUCAUGAACCCAAUCCCAUAAACCAUACCCAAGUUCAUGAACUAAAUAUCAUGAACCAUACACCUCAUGAACCAUGCACCAAGUCCAUGAACCAAAUCUCAUACACCACAUCCCAUGAACCAAAUCUUGUACAUCCUAUACACCAAACCUCAAUGAAUCAAUACCCAAAUAUCAUGAACCAACACCCAUAUCUCAAGAACCAAUACCCAAAUCUCAUGCCCAAAGUUCAUCAUGAACCUCUUUUUGCUCUAGCUCAUAUACCUAGAGUGAAAAUUAAAUAUCGACUACCCCUAAUACAUAUACUUAGAGCUAAGUCAAUUGCCUUAGCACAUAUAACUAAGGCAAAACAUCUCCAACUCGACCGAAUUCUAAAUUAUAUACUUACAAUUCAGUCAAAUGAUAUUCGAACUCUAACACAUAUACUUAGAGUUCAUCCGACUAACCCUAAUACAUACCCUUAGGGUCUAGUCAACCUUUUACUCUAACACAUAUACCUAGAGUGAAAAUCAAACCAAGCUCGACUA